rnacentral:rRNA from 1 species
AGUAGUUUGAUCAUGGCUACAGGACGAACGCUGGCGGCGUGCUUAACACAUGCAAGUCGAACGAGACGAUUUUAAGCUUGCUUAGAUGAGUCGAGUGGCAAACGGGUGAGUAACGCGUAGACAACCUGCCGCAAAGAUGGGGACAACAGUCCGAAAGGACUGCUAAUACCGAAUGUUGUCAAGUUUCCGCAUGGGAGCUUGAUUAAAGAUGGCCUCUACUUGUAAGCUAUCGCUUUGCGAUGGGUCUGCGUCUGAUUAGCUAGUUGGUGGGGUAACGGCCUACCAAGGCGACGAUCAGUAGCCGGUCUGAGAGGAUGAACGGCCACAUUGGAACUGAGACACGGUCCAGACUCC